CUCCCAGCAGCCUUUGCACGGGGGCAGCACAACAUGGCGGCGCCCUUUGUCCUGUUUGGAGAGCGGGAGGCGGGUGGAAAAGGAUCCCCAGGGACUGCGGCUUUCCUGCGCCGCUUGCGGUGCGGACUCUCGAGAGGGCUCAGUCUUGAGUUUCCGGGUGCUUCCUGCUAAAUGAUACUGUGAAAAUAACUUCGUACUUUAAGGGGAAAGAAGUUGUUUGUGGGAGUUCAGAUAUCCGUGAUAAAAGCUCUAUGCUUUUUCAGUCAGUAAGCUCUUAAAAUAUCUUUCAGUAAUCCUCCAAAACCUUACUGAGACAGCAGCAUCUGUGCUAAAAGCAGUCGAGGUCCAGGAAAAGGCUGGGACAAAACGGGAUAAAUCAGCACCGCUUCCAAGCGCUUUCCCGGCUUUCCCAUGAAGCCAAAGGAGCCUUGGAAGUAGUGCCACUGUCCCUGGUCAUUCUUGUGUUUGCAGGGAGUAAAAAUGGCCUUGGGGAUUUGCUUCUGGGAACAGAGAUCCAUUUCCUGAUGGUAGUCCUGGAAAUAGAACUGAGUCUCUCUGAGAACUGAGGAUGGUACAGGAGUGCUGGGAAUGGAGAGUCCACAGUGUGGUGAGUGUCCUGAUGUCCCUGCUGUAAUGCUGUGCUGUCAUCAAGUCCCCUCAUUCUGAUGUAAACUGUCUUUGAAUGUGCUCAAAGUCCAAACUGAAGUACAAAAUGCCUAUGGGAAGCUUCAUGUUCCCAAGGGAAUGCUUUAGGGAUGUGUAGCUUCUGAACUACAGAAAUAAUUCAGGUUCCCACAGAAACCUGCUGGGCCGUGGUUCUGGGGCAAGAGUGACAGAAAAGUGGCAUCUUCAGGGCCAUCUUAAGAGUUGUUUUCCCUCAAGAUCACAAUGAAAUGCUGUUCAUGGCCCUCUGGGAAACCCCUGAGCAGGGAAACAGAUUUGAGGACCUCCCAGUGAAUUCAGUGAAUUGUCCCAAUCAGAGAGCUUAUUGCUGACCUAAAUUGAGCUUUUAAGCCCCAGACCUCCCAGAUUUGCAGUGUUUUACCAUAACAGUGAGCCAGGAUGGAUUCUCCUGUUCAGUGGUACAGCUGCCCACGAGGGCUGGGUCAGCUGGGCCAGCACUUGCUGUUGUGCGUUUUCCUCUCUCAGAGGAGACAAAACCACUUUGCUUUCCCUUGUAGGACUGACUGAGGCUGUGGAUUGCAAUGCAGAGCAUCUGCAUGCUCCUGGUGCUUGGGGCUGUGGUGUUUGGUGUGCAGGAAACAUCCCUGGGACCCUGACUGUCUGACCUGGGUGUGGAUGUGCAUUUCCAGGACUAACUCAGUCUGGGUAUCCCACCCACCCAAAGCUUCUGAUGAAGCUCCAGGACCAGCAAGUCCCUGAAACUUGAGGAAGAGAAGAAAUGAGUUAAAGUAGAAAGAUCAGAUGAUGGAAUUGCCACUCUGGAUGUGUGCUGAGCUCUGGUGGAAGGGGACUGUCAGGCCCUAAUGGCUGCGCAGUCUUGUUCUUUUCACUGGGAAAU